AGAGAGUUUUUGGGAGAGGCUGCAGAGAUGCAAAAGAGAUCAAAGUACAGUGAAAGGCUUUACAGCUGAAGGAGAGAGAUAGUUAUUCUCGAAGACGCACUCAAGUCAACAAGUCAAUCCAAGGAAGAAAAUAAUAGAAAAACUUGUGUUCACCAUGCAUAUCAUGAGAGCACUGAUCCAUGUAAUGUGUUAAUGAACAAGAAUAGCACCUACCUUGGCAUCCUCAAGUGCGUUAAGAACUGGAUGAAUAAACAGAGGAAAUAAACAUAACUGUAAGCACAGCAUCGGAAGUGAAGCGUGAAGUUUUAAUUUUCCUUCUCUGAUUCUGUGUUAAUUUGCAUCUGUGACACAUCAUAGCCUCUUGGAUUUUGCUCUCUCCCUCCCUCUUUUUUAAUGCAAACCAGUCCUUGGCAAGAAUUCCCCCUGCUCUUUCUAAAGCUGGAAGUUGCUGACUUUUGCAGAAGACAUUCUGCAAAACGUUGAUCACAUAUUAACAUGGAAAUUGGCAACUGAGAGUUUUCACUGAAAGUCUAAAAUGGGCUAUUUUGGAAGUCAGUGGUAAUGUUUAAAAAGUAGCAUUAAAAAUUGUGUACCCCCGCUUUCAUCUUCACCCUCAGUCCCAUGCCUCCUACUCAUAUAUGGGUGCUGGCUUGUUAAUAAAAUGCCUAUUCUAAAUUA